rnacentral:rRNA from 1 species
AUUCCAGCUCCAAUAGCGUAUAUUUAAGUUGUUGCAGUUAAAAAGCUCGUAGUUGGAUUUUGGGUCGGGGGCACCGGUCCGCCGUUCCGGUGUGCACUGGUGGCCCCUUCCUUUCUGCCGGGGACGUGCGUCGCACUUAAUUGGGUGGCGUUCGGAGUCGGCGUUGUUACUUUGAAAAAAUUAGAGUGUUCAAAGCAAGCCAUCGCUCUGAAUACAUUAGCAUGGAAUAACAUGAUAGGACUCCGGUCUUAUUUUGUUGGUUUCCGAGACUGGAGUAAUGAUUAAGAGGGACAGUCGGGGGCAUCCGUAUCUCAUUGUCAGAGGUGAAAUUCUUGGAUUUUGGAAAGAUGAACUACUGCGAAGGCAUUUACCAAGGAUGUUUUCAUUG